CAGUAGCCGCGGGAAUACGAAGGGGGCUAGCGUUGUUCGGAUUUACCGGGCGUAAAGGGCGCGUAGGCGGACUGAUAAGUCAGGGGUGAAAUCCCAAGGCUCAACCUAGGAACUGCCUUUGAUACUGUUUGUCUUGAGUUCGAGAGAGGUAAGUGGAACUGCGAGUGUAGAGGUGAAAUUCGUAGAUAUUCGCAAGAACACCAGUGGCGAAGGCGGCUUACUGGCUCGAAACUGACGCUGAGGCGCGAAAGCGUGGGGAGCAAACAGGAUUAGAUACCCCUGUAGUCCCUGUCUCUUAUAC
rnacentral:rRNA from 1 species